CCCAGUGUCCCUGGGCUGUAAAUUGGGGUGCAGGAGCCGGGCAAGGCCCCUGACAGGCGAUGGACGUCAUAUCCCGACUUGGCAAUGGCCAAGCGCCCAUGCUCUCUACGCAAGCUUCAAAGAAACCUCUUAUGCGCCAAGCUCCCUACUCACAGAUGAAUGUACAAGCCACUGACAAGCAGAGCCAAGAGAAGGGAGAUGAGAGCUCGGAGGAGGAGGAGGCAGACCCUCUGGCUGAGAAGCUUCUGAUUUUGUCACCGCCAGCCCCAGAAGAAGAACUCAUGGCAGAGGGACUGUGACACCGAACACACUCUCAACAGGGAAGAACUUGUGCCCUGAACCAGCUGGAACAUCAGCACCAUCUUUAGCCCACAUGUAGCAUUCCAAUAAAUGGACUAUGAAAACA